UGUAUUGUCAUUUUGGGUGAUCACGAUCAUUAACAACUUUGAAAAUAAAUGCAAUAUCAUUUUGUUUGGCCUCGUGUGACUUACCUCGGAGCUGCUCAGAGAUCUGCGGCUUCCUUCAGUAUUGUUGUUCCUAUCAAAACCUGAAUCUGUUUACAUAUCAGACAGCGAGGGGUUUUUCACACAUCUGUCACGGUCUCAUUUCCUGUGCUGUACAUAUUCAGAAAUAAUGAAGGUCUCACCUGCAAGUUACAGACAUGAAUUCAUUUAGAAUUUAUUAUUUUUCAUGCAAAGUCUGUGUUGGCCAAAGGUUAAACCUUUGCAUAUUUUUGCAUGCAGAUAUAAUACAGUUUUUACCAACUGCUUACACACAAAAUCUUUUCAUGUCACACGAUUUUUGAAACCUCUCACUCAAAGUGCAAAACUACAUGCCAAAUCUUCAAAACCAUAAGCUAUUUCUCAGCCUUUGACUCAGUUAUCAAUUGCAUAAAACACUUUUUUCAAAACACUACACACAAUUCUCUACCUAAAACACAAAGAUCUAUCAGGAAGUGACUUGCUUUCCUUUUCCAAACACAACCAAUCAAAAUGCUACACUUAUUCACCAGGUCACACAGACACUCCUCACAUGUGCAAACACUAAUUGCUUAACUGAUCACUAACCAAUCACUGCUGUACUUUACAGUAGUAUAGAUAGGCCUAUAAAUAGGUCAAAGAUUACCCGUUUUGAACAAUGGAUGCUAACAAUGAACAGAGAGCAAGAGGAGUAGGAGGAAGAGGCAGGGGACAACGAGGACAAAUACCAAGAGAAGCAGGAGGAAGGGGAAGAGGAAGAGGAAGAAGAGGACGAUGGCAAAUAAGAGAAGGAAGGAGAGCCAUCUCUGAUGAGAUUAGGGCAACACUUGUUGAUCAUGUAAUCAACCACGUUUUGACCAUGAGAGAUUGAGUCGAUUUACAGUGGCGUCCGUAAUUCGAACUUUCAGAAAUGAGAACAGGUAUGCAACUAUCUAAUGACUAUUUUAGCAUUAUAGUAAUGUACUGUAAAAUACGUAUGACUGCAUAGUAUUGCAUAAACAUAUGUAACUCUAAGCCAUCCAUUUACUGCACUGCAUUGAAUGAAUAUGGUUGGUUAUCAUGCUGUAUUACAUUUUUUUGUAAAUGGUUUACAGUUCCUGUGCUGAACACACACUGUGUUUGAAUUCUGUACAGAGUGGAAAGGCAAAGACAACAUCGAGGACGAGGACGCUUGUUUACAGAUGUACAAGAGACUGCAAUUAUAAAUAUGGUUUUGCCCAACAAUGCAAUUAGGAUUCGAGAGAUAAGAGAGCAUAUCUUGAAUAAUGACACCCUAUUCAACAACAUCAGUGCUGUAAGCCUGUCGACCAUACAACGCAUCCUCCAACGGCACCAAGUGAGGAUGAAACAACUUUAUAAGAGAGUAUUGGAGAUGGAUGCCCAUGUAAUUCGCCACAAAUUUAUUUAUGUGGAUGAGGUUGGCUUCAACCUCACCAAAACCAGGCCCCACCAACUAAUGUCCCUGGACAGCGUGGGGGUAAUAUAACCAUGUGUGCUGCCAUCACUCAAAACGGGGUCCUCCAUCACAAUGCCACACUGGGUCCAUACAACACCGGCCAUAUACUCACUUUUCUGGAUGCAAUUCACACAAUGCUUGUCCCUGAUCCAGAUCAGGCGCCUGCUAGAUUUGUGGUUAUAUGGGACAAUGUUAGUUUUAAAAGUGCUGUUCUGGUCCAAAAUUGGUUUGCCACCCAUCCACAAUUUGUAGUUUUGUACCUACCCCCAUAUUCACCUUUCUAAAU
ensembl:lncRNA